rnacentral:rRNA from 1 species
UGGGGAAUUUUGGACAAUGGACGCAAGUCUGAUCCAGCCAUGCCGCGUGCGGGAAGAAGGCCUUCGGGUUGUAAACCGCUUUUGUCAGGGAAGAAACGAGUUUCUCUAAUACAGAGACUUAAUGACGGUACCUGAAGAAUAAGCACCGACUAACUACGUGCCAGCAGCCGCGGUAAUACGUAGGGUGCGAGCGUUAAUCGGAAUUACUGGGCGUAAAGCGUGCGCAGGCGGUUAUAUAAGACAGAUGUGAAAUCCCCGGGCUCAACCUGGGACCUGCAUUUGUGACUGCAUAGCUAGAGUACGGUAGAGGGGGAUGGAAUUCCGCGUGUAGCAGUGAAAUGCGUAGAUAUGCGGAGGAACACCGAUGGCGAAGGCAAUCCCCUGGACCUGUACUGACGCUCAUGCACGAAAGCGUGGGGAGCAAACA